rnacentral:rRNA from 1 species
AUUGAACGCUGGCGGCAUGCCUUACACAUGCAAGUCGAACGGCAGCACGGGAGCAAUCCUGGUGGCGAGUGGCGAACGGGUGAGUAAUAUAUCGGAACGUGCCCAGUCGUGGGGGAUAACGUAGCGAAAGCUACGCUAAUACCGCAUACGAUCUAUGGAUGAAAGCGGGGGAUCGCAAGACCUCGCGCGAUUGGAGCGGCCGAUAUCAGAUUAGGUAGUUGGUGGGGUAGAGGCUCACCAAGCUGACGAUCUGUAGCUGGUCUGAGAGGACGACCAGCCACACGGGGACUGAGACACGGCCCAGACUCCUACGGGAGGCAGCAGUGGGGAAUUUUGGACAAUGGGCGCAAGCCUGAUUCAGCAAUGCCGCGUGCAGGAUGAAGGCCUUCGGGUUGUAAACUGCUUUUGUACGGAGCGAAAAGGCUUCCACUAAUACUGGGGGCUCAUGACGGUACCGUAAGAAUAAGCACCGGCUAACUGCGUGCCAGCCGCCGCAGUAAUAC